ensembl:lncRNA novel transcript
AGAAAUGCCUUUUACCUCCCACUGUGAUUCUGAGGCCCCCUCAGCCAUGUGGAAUUGUGAAUACUUGGCAGGACAACAGGCAGACAAGGAGCAGCCUGGGCUACACCCUCCUCCAUCCAGCUUGGCAGGGAAGGUCUUGGUGCCUCAGUUGAAACUUCCAAUUUAACAUCCUGACACACACUACUCCCUCUUCCUGUGAUCAUCAGAACAAGAUAAAACCUUGUGUGUCUGGAUAGUUCUCAUCUGUUAAGAUUCAGGU